rnacentral:rRNA from 1 species
AACGAACGCUGGCGGCAUGCCUAACACAUGCAAGUCGAACGAGACCUUCGGGUCUAGUGGCGCACGGGUGCGUAACGCGUGGGAACCUGCCCUUAGGUUCGGAAUAACUCCCCGAAAGGGGUGCUAAUACCGGAUAAUGUCUUCGGACCAAAGAUUUAUCGCCUUUGGAUGGGCCCGCGUUGGAUUAGCUAGUUGGUAGGGUAAAAGCCUACCAAGGCGACGAUCCAUAGCUGGUCUGAGAGGAUGAUCAGCCACACUGGGACUGGGACACGGCCCAGACUCCUGCGGGAGGCAGCAGUGGGGAAUAUUGGACAAUGGGCGAAAGCCUGAUCCCGCAGUGCCGCGUGAGUGAUGAAGGCCUUAGGGUUGUAAAGCUCUUUUACCCGGGAUGAUAAGGACAGUACCGGGAGAAUAAGCUCCGGCUAACUCCGU